rnacentral:rRNA from 1 species
UCCUACGGGAGGCAGCAGUAGGGAAUCUUCCGCAAUGGACGAAAGUCUGACGGAGCAACGCCGCGUGAGUGAUGAAGGUCUUCGGAUCGUAAAACUCUGUUGUUAGGGAAGAACAAGUAUCGUUCGAAUAGGGCGGUACCUUGACGGUACCUAACCAGAAAGCCACGGCUAACUACGUGCCAGCAGCCGCGGUAAUAUGUAGGUGGCAAGCGUUAUCCGGAAUUAUUGGGCGUAAAGCGCGCGCAGGCGGUUUCUUAAGUCUGAUGUGAAAGCCCACGGCUCAACCGUGGAGGGUCAUUGGAAACUGGGAAGCUUGAGUGCAGAAGAGGAGAGUGGAAUUCCAUGUGUAGCGGUGAAAUGCGUAGAGAUAUGGAGGAACACCAGUGGCGAAGGCGACUCUCUGGUCUGCAACUGACGCUGAGGCGCGAAAGCGUGGGGAGCGAACAGGAUUAGAUACCCUGGUAGUCCACGCUGUAAACGAUGAGUGCUAGGUGUCGGGGGGUCCAACCCUCGGUGCUGUCGCUAACGCAAUAAGCACUCCGCCUGGGGAGUACGGUCGCAAGACUGAAACUCAAAGGAAUUGACGGA